AGAAAGAAAGAAAGAAAGAAAGAAAGAAAGAAAGAAAGAAAGAAAGAAAAGAAAAGGAGAAAGAAAGAAAGAAAGAAAGAAAGAAAGAAAGAAAAGAAAAGGAGAAAGAAAGGAAGAAAGAAAGAGAGAAAGAAAUGAGAGAGAGAGGGAGAGAGAAAGAAGGAAUGAGAGAGAGAGAAAGAAAGAAAGAAAGAAAGAAAAGAAAGGGAGAAAGAAAGAAAGAAAGAAAGGGAGAGAGAAAGAAAGAAAUGAGAGAGAGAGGGAGAGAGAGAGAGAGAAAGAAGGAAUGAGAGAGAGAGAGAGAAAGAAAGAAAGAAAGAAAAGAAAGGGAGAGAGAAAGAAAGAAAGAAAGGGAGAGAGAAAGAAAGAAAUGAGAGAGAGAGGGAGAGAGAGAGAGAGAAAGAAGGAAUGAGAGAGAAAGAAAGAAAGAAAGAAAGAAAGAAAGAAGAAAGAAAGAAGAAAGAAAGAAAGGAGAG
rnacentral:lncRNA from 1 species